rnacentral:rRNA from 1 species
UACGUAGGUGGCAAGCGUUUGUCCGGAUUUUACUGGGCGUAAAGGGCGUGCAGGCGGUUUGUUAAGUGCAGGGUGAAAGCUCCCGGCUCAACUGGGAGAGGUCCUUGCAUACUGGCAGACUUGAGGGAGGCAGAGGAAAGUGGAAUUCCCGGUGUAGUGGUGAUAUGCGUAGAUAUCGGGAGGAACACCUGUGGCGAAAGGCGGCUUACUGGACCAUAACUGACGCUGAGGCACGAAAAGCGUGGGUAGCAAACAGG